rnacentral:rRNA from 1 species
AGAGUUUGAUCCUGGCUCAGAUUGAACGCUGGCGGCAGGCCUAACACAUGCAAGUCGAGCGGUAGCACAGAGAGCUUGCUCUCGGGUGACGAGCGGCGGACGGGUGAGUAAUGUCUGGGAAACUGCCUGAUGGAGGGGGAUAACUACUGGAAACGGUAGCUAAUACCGCAUAAUGUCGCAAGACCAAAGUGGGGGACCUUCGGGCCUCAUGCCAUCAGAUGUGCCCAGAUGGGAUUAGCUUGUAGGUGGGGUAACGGCUCACCUAGGCGACGAUCCCUAGCUGGUCUGAGAGGAUGACCAGCCACACUGGAACUGAGACACGGUCCAGACUCCUACGGGAGGCAGCAGUGGGGAAUAUUGCACAAUGGGCGCAAGCCUGAUGCAGCCAUGCCGCGUGUGUGAAGAAGGCCUUCGGGUUGUAAAGCACUUUCAGCGGGGAGGAAGGCGGUGAGGUUAAUAACCUCAUCGAUUGACGUUACCCGCAGAAGAAGCACCGGCUAACUCCGUGCCAGCAGCCGCGGUAAUACGGAGGGUGCAAGCGUUAAUCGGAAUUACUGGGCGUAAAGCGCACGCAGGCGGUCUGUCAAGUCGGAUGUGAAAUCCCCGGGCUCAACCUGGGAACUGCAUUCGAAACUGGCAGGCUAGAGUCUUGUAGAGGGGGGUAGAAUUCCAGGUGUAGCGGUGAAAUGCGUAGAGAUCUGGAGGAAUACCGGUGGCGAAGGCGGCCCCCUGGACAAAGACUGACGCUCAGGUGCGAAAGCGUGGGGAGCAAACAGGAUUAGAUACCCUGGUAGUCCACGCCGUAAACGAUGUCGAUUUGGAGGUUGUGCCUUUGAGGCGUGGCUUACGGAGCUAACGCGUUAAAUCGACCGCCUGGGGAGUACGGCCGCAAGGUUAAAACUCAAAUGAAUUGACGGGGGCCCGCACAAGCGGUGGAGCAUGUGGUUUAAUUCGAUGCAACGCGAAGAACCUUACCUGGUCUUGACAUCCACAGAACUUAGCAGAGAUGCUUUGGUGCCUUCGGGAACUGUGAGACAGGUGCUGCAUGGCUGUCGUCAGCUCGUGUUGUGAAAUGUUGGGUUAAGUCCCGCAACGAGCGCAACCCUUAUCCUUUGUUGCCAGCGGUCCGGCCGGGAACUCAAAGGAGACUGCCAGUGAUAAACUGGAGGAAGGUGGGGAUGACGUCAAGUCAUCAUGGCCCUUACGACCAGGGCUACACACGUGCUACAAUGGCAUAUACAAAGAGAAGCGACCUCGCGAGAGCAAGCGGACCUCAUAAAGUAUGUCGUAGUCCGGGUUGGAGUCUGCAACUCGACUCCAUGAAGUCGGAAUCGCUAGUAAUCGUAGAUCAGAAUGCUACGGUGAAUACGUUCCCGGGCCUUGUACACACCGCCCGUCACACCAUGGGAGUGGGUUGCAAAAGAAGUAGGUAGCUUAACCUUCGGGAGGGCGCUUACCACUUUGUGAUUCAUGACUGGGGUGAAGUCGUAACAAGGUAGCC